rnacentral:rRNA from 1 species
UACGUAGGGGGCAAGCGUUGUCCGGAUUUAUUGGGCGUAAAGAGCGCGUAGGCGGCUAGAUAGGUCCGUUGUGAAAACUCGAGGCUCAACCUCGAGACGCCGGUGGAAACCAUCUAGCUAGAGUCCGGAAGAGGAGAGUGGAAUUCCUGGUGUAGCGGUGAAAUGCGCAGAUAUCAGGAAGAACACCCGUGGCGAAGGCGGCUCUCUGGUACGUGACUGACGCUGAGACGCGAAAGCGUGGGGAGCGAACAGG